AGUGAACGCUGGCGGUAGGCCUAACACAUGCAAGUCGAACGGCAGCACAGGAGAGCUUGCUCUCUGGGCGGCGAGUGGCGGACGGGUGAGGAAUACAUCGGAAUCUACUCUGUCGUGGGGGAUAACGUAGGGAAACUUACGCUAAUACCGCAUACGACCUACGGGUGAAAGCAGGGGAUCUUCGGACCUUGCGCGAUUGAAUGAGCCGAUGUCGGAUUAGCUAGUUGGCGGGGUAAAGGCCCACCAAGGGGACGAUCCGUAGCUGGUCUGAGAGGAUGAUCAGCCACACUGGAACUGAGGCACGGUCCAGACUCCUACGGGAGGCAGCAGUGGGGAAUAUUGGACAAUGGGCGCAAGCCUGAUCCAGCCAUACCGCGUGGGUGAAGAAGGCCUUCGGGUUGUAAAGCCCUUUUGUUGGGAAAGAAAUCCAGCUGGCUAAUACCCGGUUGGGAUGACGGUACCCAAAGAAUAAGCACCGGCUAACUUCGUGCCAGCCGCCGCCGUAA
rnacentral:rRNA from 1 species